UUUUACUUGUUGUAAUUAAAAAUAGAAAAUGUGGAGAACACUCACCACAAUCUUUAUUUUUUAUUCUUUUUUGAGGUAAGAGGCUAUUAUAUAGAUAAUACAAUUUAUGAUUAAAUUUGUAAAUUUUAUGUAAUUAAUUUAUACUUCUAAUAGAUCAUUGAGUGGUCUUUCCCGAGUGUCCUUCUAAGAAAUCAUUUAGUGGCUCUGCCUACUCCUUUUUAUUUUUUACUUUCUAAUCGAACCAAAAAAAGCUUGGUUUGGUUAGUUAAUACCCGAUUCAAAUUGAACCGACUUACAACUUACUUAAUUUGACUUGUUGAGAUGUGUGGUUCAACUAAUAAAUUGGUGAACCAACCCAAUUUUAUUAGUAGUAGUUGGUUUCAUCUUUAUUUUAUAUUUAAUAAUUAAUUAGAAAAAUGUAUUAAGUAUUUUUUAAUUAUCUACACCUUAAAUUUAAUUAUAUGUAAUAUAAUAAAUAACAUUAAUUAGGAUAUAGUUUAUUAUUUUAUAUAAUAUAAAAAAUAAUAAUUAAAUAGUUGUUGUUGGGUUAUGGG
rnacentral:lncRNA from 1 species